ACAGAGAGGAGAGACACAGAGAGAGAGAGAGGAGAGACAGACAGAGAGAGAGGAGAGACACAGACAGAGAGAGAGGAGAGACACAGACGCAGACAGAGAGAGAGGAGAGACAGACACAGAGAGAGAGAGGAGAGACACAGAGAGAGGAGAGACACAGACAGAGAGAGGAGAGACACAGAGAGAGGAGAGACACAGACACAGACAGAGAGAGAUAGACACAGACAGAGAGAGAGACAGACAGCGCUUGGAAUGAGAUGAUGGAUGAGCAGGUGUCCACAUUCUGCAUAACAGGUCGGGUCCCCUAACUAACAGGUUCUCUAGCAGGUCCCCUAACUAACAGGUUCUCUAGCGGGUCCCCUAACUAACAGGUUCUCUUGCAGGUCCCCUAACUAACAGGUUCUCUAGCGGGUCCCCUAACUAACAGGUUCUCUAGCAGGUCCCCUAACUAACAGGUUCUCUAGCGGGUCCCCUAACUAACAGGUUCUCUAGCAGGUCCCCUAACUAACAGGUUCUCUAGCAGGUCCCCUAACUAACAGGUUCUCUAGCGGGUCCCCUAACUAACAGGUUCUCUAGCAGGUCCCCUAACUAACAGGUUCUCUAGCAGGUCCCCUAACUAACAGGUUCUCUAGCGGGUCCCCUAACUAACAGGUUCUCUUGCAGGUCCCCUAACUAACAGGUUCUCUAGCGGGUCCCCUAACUAACAGGUUCUCUAGCAGGUCCCCUAACUAACAGGUUCUCUAGCGGGUCCCCUAACUAACAGGUUCUCUAGCAGGUCCCCUAACUAACAGGUUCUCUAGCAGGUCCCCUAACUAACAGGUUCUCUAGCAGGUCCCCUAACUAACAGGUUCUCUAGCAGGUCCCCUAACUAACAGGUUCUCUAGCAGGUCCCCUAACUAACAGGUUCUCUAGCAGGUCCCCUAACUAACAGGUUCUCUAGCAGGUCCCCUAACUAACAGGUUCUCUAGCAGGUCCCCUAACUAACAGGUUCUCUAGCGGGUCCCCUAACUAACAGGUUCUCUAGCAGGUCCCCUAACUAACAGGUUCUCUAGCAGGUCCCCUAACUAACAGGUUCUCUAGCAGGUCCCCUAACUAACAGGUUCUCUAGCAGGUCCCCUAACUAACAGGUUCUCUAGCAGGUCCCCUAACUAACAGGUUCUCUAGCAGGUCCCCUAACUAACAGGUUCUCUAGCGGGUCCCCUAACUAACAGGUUCUCUAACUAACGGGUCCCCUAACUAGCGGGUCCCCUAACUAAUGGGUCCUCUAACUAGCGGGUCCUCUAACUAAUGGGUCCCCUAACUAACGGGUCCUCUAACUAAUGGGUCCCCUAACUAAUGGGUCCUCUAACUAGCGGGUCCUCUAACUAACGGGUCAUCUAACUAAUGGGUCCCCUAACUAAUGGGUCCUCUAACUAAGCGGGUCCUCUAACUAAUGGGUCCUCUAACUAACGGGUCCUCUAACUAAUGGGUCCCCUAACUAAUGGGUCCUCUAACUAGCGGGUCCUCUAACUAAUGGGUCCUCUAACUAAUGGGUCCUCUAACUAAUGGGUCCUCUAACUAACGGGUCCUCUAACUAAUGGGUCCUCUAACUAAUGGGUCCUCUAACUAACGGGUCCUCUAACUAACGGGUCCCAGCUGUGGUGAAGGAAUGCAUGUUCUUGUGUAGGGCUGGCACAAUUACCGUACAACUGACGUCUACAUUGCUGGGUACACUUCCUGCUUUGCUCUUACAGAUAAACCCCAGUCCACUGAUCAUGCCUCUGUUCAGGUGACUGGGGACGCUCAUUCUGUGAGCGUGUUUGUUACCGUAGUA